AACGAACGCUGGCGGCGUGUCUUAAGCAUGCAAGUCGAGCGGCAAGCAGUAGCAAUACUGCCUAGAGCGGCGGACUGGUGAGUAACGCGUGGGUGAUCUGCCCUUGGGAUGGGGAUAGCCGUUAGAAAUAGCGGGUAAUACCGAAUGUGAUCGUAGGGUUGCGGCCUUACGAUGAAAGGCGCUCCGGCGCCGCCCGAGGAUGAGCCUGCGUCUCAUUAGCUAGUUGGUGGGGUAAAAGCCUACCAAGGCGAUGAUGAGUAGCCGGCCUGAGAGGGUGUACGGCCACACUGGGACUGAGAUACGGCCCAGACUCCUACGGGAGGCAGCAGCUAAGAUAUUCCGCAAUGGACGAAAGUCUGACGGAGCGACGCCGCGUGGAUGAUGAAGGCCGUGAGGUUGUAAAUCCUUUUGCUGGGGAAGAAUAACCAUGGGAGGGAAUGCCCGUGGGAUGACAUGAACCGGCGAAUAAGCCCCGGCUAACUACGUGCC
rnacentral:rRNA from 1 species